CGGACAGUGCCGUUCAGCGCCUGCACGGUGUUACUGAACCUCGCCGAGCAGUUCUGGUUACCGGGACAAGCUCAGCCCUUCGGGCACCGCUUUUCCCUCCAUCCGUCUGUGAAACGCUGCCGUAUCGAAGAGAACCGCAGAGCGAAGCACAGAAACCACGCCGCGGGCUCAGAGUUCGGAUGUCCCCGCUCGAAUUUCCAAACAGGAGAGGAAUUUGCGCCUCGGGCCGGAGCCGGGCAGGAAAGCGGGUCCGCCCCCGGCACCGCCCCGACCUGCGGGCACGGCCGGGCAAACGCGGCGGCGGCGGUCGGAGCAGCACCGCAGGGCGGAGACUAAACGUGGAGCUGGAGAGGACUGGGAAGAUGGGAGGAAAGACCUGAGGAGGUGGAUGAAAGGCAGCAGCAAUGACCAAGGAGACAUCAGUCCCUGUGGCAGAGACAGCCAUCGGCACAAUAGAAGGUCACCAUCACAUUUCCACCUCAGAGGUGAUAGAGGUGCACUGGAAUCCUCACACAGCUCUGUGUGUCCAUGAUUUCUUGAGGAGGCAAAACAUAGAAGGACACAUGUGGGUAAGCACGGCAAUGGAGC
rnacentral:lncRNA from 1 species